UGUAUUCAGUCCUCGUUCAUGGCUGUUCUUUUUUUGUAUCGACAUACAUCCAUCAAAAUUUACGAACGUGCGUUUAAGUCAACAGACGUUUGCUGUGAAACAAAAGAAUUGAGAAAUAGUUCCCCACACUUGGAAGCAAUAAGAAGCAAGUCAAUCCUAUUGAAAUGGAUCAGUCAAAGUUUAAAAGUUUUAAAGCUCUGUGGAUUGAGCAAAUAGUUCUGUUGCUGCGUCCCCUACAACAUUACAUCGCCAGUAACAUCCAACGUUCGUGUUCAAAAGAGCUUCUGUGUUCGGGCGCUCCUUAUCAAAGUUGCUGGGGGCGACCCGCCCAUCCUGCAGCCUAAUAAGCCUCCUUGAGCUUCGAGUGGAAAUUUACCCGGCCUUUCCCUACUUUUCCUUCUUUAUUUAUUGGGAAUGGAACCGAAGAAGAAAGAACGAGGGGGAAAAAAAAAACGUCCAGUCGGCUUCUACAAGCAGAAAGGAGCCUUGAAGGAUCGCUGAUACAGAUCCAAGUGGCGAUGUAUUUUCAGUUGUAUACACAAGGCCAUCCAGCCAUUACAGCAUACGAGAUGCCGAGGAAAUCGGAAACCCUAUUACACACACACACAC